UUGGGAGUCACUGCUUUCAUGUAUACUCAAGGCUGCAGAUAUUAUUGUUCAGGAAUAGCACGUUUUAUUGGAAAGCUGCACGAUAACAAGGAAAAUGAGCAAAACUCUGACAGUGAAAACUACAUUGCUGAGAAGGUCACCAGCCCUUCACGUUCCUGAUGUCACCGGAAGCCUUCCUUACUCACUGCCUCUGCUACGCUCUGCUCACGUGUCUGUUGAGACGUGUGCUGCUUGUUAA
rnacentral:lncRNA from 1 species